rnacentral:rRNA from 1 species
AGUUUGAUCAUGGCUCAGAUUGAACGCUGGCGGCAUGCUUUACACAUGCAAGUCGAGCGGCAGCGCGGGGGCAACCCUGGCGGCGAGCGGCGGACGGGUGAGUAAUACAUCGGAACGUGUCCCGUAGUGGGGGAUAGCCCGGCGAAAGCCGGAUUAAUACCGCAUAUGCUCUACGGAGGAAAGUGGGGGACUCGCAAGGGCCUCACGCUAUGGGAGCGGCCGAUGUCCGAUUAGCUUGUUGGCGGGGUAAUGGCCCACCAAGGCGACGAUCGGUAGCUGGUCUGAGAGGAUGAUCAGCCACACUGGGACUGAGACACGGCCCAGACUCCUACGGGAGGCAGCAGUGGGGAAUUUUGGACAAUGGGGGCAACCCUGAUCCAGCCAUGCCGCGUGCGGGAAGAAGGCCUUCGGGUUGUAAACCGCUUUUGGUCGGAAAGAAAAGGCGCUCUCUAAUACGGGGCGUUCUUGACGGUACCGGCAGAAUAAGCACCGGCUAACUACGUGCCAGCAGCCGCGGUAAUACGUAGGGUGCGAGCGUUAAUCGGAAUUACUGGGCGUAAAGCGUGCGUAGGCGGUUCUCCAAGUCCGUUGUGAAAGCCCCGGGCUCAACCUGGGAAUGGCAGUGGAAACUAGGGGACUUGAAUCUGGCAGAGGGGG